rnacentral:rRNA from 1 species
UGGGGAAUAUUGGACAAUGGGCGGAAGCCUGAUCCAGCAACGCCGCGUGAGGGAUGACGGCCUUCGGGUUGUAAACCUCUUUCAGUACCGACGAAGCGAAAGUGACGGUAGGUACAGAAGAAGGACCGGCCAACUACGUGCCAGCAGCCGCGGUAAUACGUAGGGUCCGAGCGUUGUCCGGAAUUAUUGGGCGUAAAGGGCUCGUAGGCGGUUUGUCACGUCGGGAGUGAAAACAGCGGGCUUAACUCGUUGCUUGCUUUCGAUACGGGCAGACUAGAGGUAUGCAGGGGAGAAUGGAAUUCCUGGUGUAGCGGUGAAAUGCGCAGAUAUCAGGAGGAACACCGGUGGCGAAGGCGGUUCUCUGGGCAUUACCUGACGCUGAGGAGCGAAAGUGUGGGGAGCGAACAGGAUUAGAUACCCUGGUAGUCCACACCGUAAAACGUUGGGCGCUAGGUGUGGGGUCCUUUCCACGGAUUCCGUGCCGUAGCUAACGCAUUAAGCGCCCCGCCUGGGGAGUACGGCCGCAAGGCU